UCUCAUUGUCUGGUGUCAAUUUCUGACAACGUGAUUCUUUCAGAUGCGUCACGUGGUGUGCUAAAACACUUCCUGGUUAGCUUUCUGCUAGAAAUUUAAAUCUCAAAAU